rnacentral:rRNA from 1 species
UACGUAGGGUGCAAGCGUUAUCCGGAAUUAUUGGGCGUAAAGGGCUCGUAGGCGGUUUGUCGCGUCGGGAGUGAAAACACCGGGCUUAACUCGGUGCUUGCUUUCGAUACGGGCAGACUAGAGGUAUGCAGGGGAGAACGGAAUUCCUGGUGUAGCGGUGAAAUGCGCAGAUAUCAGGAGGAACACCGGUGGCGAAGGCGGUUCUCUGGGCAUUACCUGACGCUGAGGAGCGAAAGUGUGGGGAGCGAACAGG